GCACCCACUCGACUCACAAUAGACAGACGCUCAAAUCAGACGCUUGUGAACGAAAAGGCCGACGGACGGACCAAACCGAACAUGGCCAAACCACUUCACCUAGGCAGACCUUCCUCAAGAUAACCGCAAACAGACACACCCACGUCCAAGGGUACGAAGACACCUAAGGCUGGGCCCCGAGCCCAACACGGACCAGGGAACACAGUACACCUACAUUGCUUCUAGCCUCCCCACCACACACGCCGACAGACAGCAGGCAGCUAAGAGACAGUCCUAGACCGGUUAGGGGCACGACAAUCAACCCCACCCAAAAUUAGCGAGAAGGGUCAAAAUACGGUAUACCGAGUUGGUUUCGAAGCAUAAUGCUCUCUCAAGAACUGCUCGGCUAUAAGGGACUGUAGAACCUUACUCUAAGCGGGCAUAUGUACACCAGGAGCAGAUAUAGG